rnacentral:lncRNA from 1 species
CAUGUCGCUAAACUGAGCAACUCAAUUUGAACUCGACUGCCAUGUCGCUAAACUGAGCAAUUCAAUUUUAACAUCGACCGCCAUGUCGCUAAACUGAGCAACAUAAUUUAAAAUCGACUGUCAUGUCGCUAAACUGAACAACUCAUUUCAAGCCGAUUGUCAUGUCGCUAAACUGAGCAACUCAAUCUAAAAUCGACCGCCAUGUCGCUAAACUGAGCAUCUAAAAUUGAAUCGACUGCCAAGUCGCUAAACUGAGCAAACCAAGUUCAAAUUUGACCAUCAAGUCGUUAAACUGAACAAAUGACUGUUAAGUCAUUAAGCUGAACAUCCGACCGCCAUGUCAUUAAACUGAGCACCAAAACUCAAAUCGACCGCCAUGUCGCUAAACUGAGCAACCCAAUUUAAAAUCGACCACCAUAUCGCAAAACUGAAUAACUCAAUUUAAAAUCGACCGUCAUGUCGCUAAACUGAGCACCUCAACUUCAACCGACCGCCAUGUCAUUAAACUGAGCAACUCAAUUUAAAAUCGACCGCCAUGUCGCUAAACUGAGCACCAAACUUAAACCGACCGCCAUGUCAUUAAACUGAGCAUCAAAACUUCAAUCGACCACCAAGUCGCUAAAUUGAGUAGCUAGUCUUAUAAAAUUUAUGUACAGUAGGGGUAUGCCCCUGCUUAAGCCAUGUACAUGGCAAAUCAUAUUAAUAAAAUUUUAUUUGCCUGUUUUGUCUCUUUUAUUAUCAGCAUUUAUAUUUGGUCUCUUAAUCGAAGGUACCUUAACACUGAAAGUGUGGGGUAAUUAAUAGCAGAUUCUUGAGUCUGUUGGAAGCCAUGAACCUAUAAUUCUGAUUUUAAAAUAAAAUUUAAACAAAUUUAAUCUCUACCAUGAACGACCCCUCACCUCAGAAACACCUAUGGCGGGGCCGGUUCGUUCGCGGUAGACAAAAUGGCACGCCCGGUAGGACAUGGCUUCACCCUCCAUCUUUGAGACCUAAUUAAUAAAUGCUGAUAAAAGACCAAAAUAUAUUUAUAUUUAUGCGUGACUAAUGUUUGCUGUCUUAUAUAUGCAGAGCAAUGGCAUCAAACAACACCACGGUUAAUGCGACUCAAAUCCGCUUUCCCGCUUCUAUGAUGAAAAUACAGACUGCCGGUGUCACCAUCCAGUUCGGCACCGUCACUGAGGACAUUCUGGUUACUGUCAUGCCCCAGCCAGCCACUCAAAUUGGUGGGGGCAAGACUUCGACGGACUCCAAGGACGAAGCUACUUUAGUUCCCAACAGCCGUGUGAUUUCUCGCCUUCCAUCACGUGGGAGGCGCCCAAAUGUCAUCAUCCCAAAUCCUCCGCGCAGGCCUGCCAAGGAGCGACUGGCUGUUCCCUCUGCCGCAACAAGAAUUGUGAUGGAGGGUCGACUCAAAUUUUCUGAUGGCCAGCUUGCAAGGACAUUUGUCUUUAAAAGAUUGGCCCUGUCAAUUCUGAAACCAUUGAUCCGGAAGCAUCAAGAAAAUCAGUUUUUGAUAGACUGACGACCUCUACAAGCGAAGUUGCCGAGAUGGCACUUCAUCCAAGAUCCAAAUCUUUUAAGAGAAACGCUCGACGUUCCUUAAAGAGAAGACAAGAGAGAGAAGACAAAGGAACAGAGGCAUUACCGCCGACUAAGGUUGUAGUCGAACCGACAGCUCUUAUGCAUAACAAGUUCGCCCCACUAAAGUUUGUCAAAAAGAAUUCACCCACUGCUGUCCUCCGUCCUGAAAAAGAAAUGGGUCACCUACGACCUAUCAAUGAGACGAGCUACCCACGGCCUGUCAACAAGGUCUCGCCAAAACACAAAGAGACAACUAUAUCUCAACGCAUCUAUGAAGCCUUGAAAGAGGUUAAAAGGCGUCGCAAGGAGGAGAAUACAUCUGCAAUUAGGGGGCGGAAGCAACCAUUGAUGCCGAAUAAGAAAAUUACUAAGCAAUGGAGAGUGAAGAACUCUAUCAUACCAUCUGAUAAUUAGGAGAAACAAAGAGGAAGCUCCAAAAGGUUGACUAUCCAUACAGUAAGGAUGGUCAAUCAUGUAGAAGAAGAUAAUGAUGAUGGCAAUCCGACGCUGAGGGAGAUAGCUACGAGAGCUGCCCUCCUGCGCAAAGGGAAGAAGGCCCCUGAAACAAAAAGAUGUGGUUCCUCUCAAGGGAUAGGAGAAUAUCCCAACACGGACUUACCUCAACACCCCAAUACUGACUUACCCCUUGACCUGUUUAGUGUAGAAGAGAAUGAAGAGGAACCCGCUUUUCUCCCCCAGGAUCCUAAAGAUCUUCUAAUUGAUUCAAUGAGAAAGAAGCUGGAGGAAAAGGACAAGGACAUAUCAAAUCUGCAUAGAAAGUUAGACGAAGUCUUGGAAAUGUUCAGCAACAUGCAAACGCACAUGGGAGUGCAAUUAUGCAAUCCUGAAGUUCAAGCUACACCACCGACCUUGAACUUGUCCACACCGUCAACCGAAGAAAACCGAAAAAAUCAGUUGGCUACAACACCUCGCAUCCAAAAAGAUACUCAUAAUAUAACCAGAGAUGAAAUAUCAGAACUUAUUGCUCUUCAACUGAAAGAGUCAAUGGCAGGGUCAAUACCCAAACAGAAAUGAAGGGGGCACCCAUACCCUAUGGAAUAUGAUGAUAUACUCUUUCCUUUAGGGUAUGUUAUUCCUAAAUUCAAACAAUUUAAUGGGGUAGGCAACCCGGACCAACAUUUGGCACAUUUCAAAGCCACGUGUGGUAACACCGGGGGCAACAAAAUUAUUGUUGCGUCAGUUCCCUCAGAGCUUGACCGGGAUAGAUUUUGACUGGUAUUACUCUCUCGAGGAUGACUCAAUUAAAACUUGGAGUGAAAUGGAGAAUGCUUUUCGAGCAAAAUUCGCUACAGUUAGCGAUAAAAUCUCAAUAGCAGAUCUGGCAGCGACUAAAAGAAAGAAGCAUGAGUCAAUGCUAGACUACAUAACUCGAUGGCGAAAUUUGAGUAUAAAGUGUGAUACAACCCUAGAGCAAUCUCAAGCGGUAGAGUUGCUUAAAGGGAAUAUAGACAACUGGAUGGCCCCGUUCUUUUGUAUCAGCAGUUGUACUACGUUUUAGGAUCUCAUACCGAACGUCUCAAGACUGGAGAAAACUGAUCCACAAAUUUUGGCGAGUUUCUAUCCUUCUAAACCUCGGAGGGAAGAUGGAAAGAAAGCCGAAACCAAAACCGUCCAUUCAAGAACAGCUUAUGCCAACAAUAUAGAAAAAGGAAAAAGGCCCAUUGCUUCAGUUGGGCCAACAUCCAAGCCAACGUUAGGCGGUGAUAACUAUAAAAUGACCAUAGAAGAGAGAAAGAAUAAAGUCUACUCCUUUAAAAGAGACAAAGUAAGAAAAAUAUUCAAUGAUGCUAUUAAAAGUGGUCUAUAGCUACCGGAGCCAAAGAGGCCAGAAGAUGUUGGCAAAACUGAUGACACAAAUUAUUGUCUCUAUCAUAGGAUGGUCAAUCACCCUAUUGAAAAUUGUUGGGUGUUUAAAGACUGGGUUGAAAAGCAAUAUAAAACUGGUGCUAUUACUCUCUCACGUUCAGUCUUGAUGGAUUCACAAAUGGAAGAAACCAAUGUAAUUAGUGCGGGGACCGAAGAAACAGUAGGGUUCGAUUACUCUUUUCCCUCUGAGGUUUGGAACACUUUUCUGACUAAGAAGACUGGAAAAAUGCUCAAACAGUUGAAAGAAACUCCAGGAAUUACAUGGCGAGGCCCGCUGAAUCCAAGAGUGCAACCAAUGCCACUUGAGGAUCAACCUUCAUCAUCUUCCAAACCAUACAAUCCUCCUACUCUAUCUAAUCGGAAAGUAAUCAAGAAAAAGAAGAUUAAAAGGCCCGUAGAUCCGGAGCCGUAUGAGUCUAAGAAGACGGAGCUUGAAGAGUAUAUUGACUCCCUAGAAGACUACAUACAGAAAAAGAGGGACGCAGUUUUAAUCAAAGACUUCGUAGUCGGAGCAAUGGAAGGCACGACCGUCCCAAUACGAAAGAUUGAUGAGGGUGUGAAAUUUAAAGAAUAUGUCGAGCCCCCUCUUCCACCCAAUAAAAAAGUCUAUAUAAAUUUGGAAAACGAAUUUGAAGAGAUAGAGAAGGAGAUCUAUGAGGAGGCGGAGGAUUUCAGGCGAGAAGUAUGCACAGAAGUAUGCAGAGCCACCUCAGCUUAUAAUGUGGACAGUGAAGAUGAAUUCACUUCCGCGUUAGAAGACAAUACUGAUGAUGAUGCUGAAGAAGGCGAUAGCAAGAAAGAAUUUUGGCAAAAAUUAGAAAGAAAGAAAAAAGAGGAGCAAGGUUCAAUUGCAUAUGCACAAAGGGUUACGAACUAUAGACUAGACUCGGUCAACGAGGAGCUCUUUAAUAUAAGAGUCGAACAAAAAGAGAUAGCGAAGAUGGUGAUCGGGCUUGAAGCAAGGAUUGAGCAGGUGUUACGGUUAAUGGCCCCAACCCCUCGACGAGUUCGGCCACCACCUAGAAAUAACCGUCUACAAGAGGUGAUGGAGCGCAUUGAAAGGAUGAUGACCGCGAUACCAGUCAGGAGCAAGCAACAGAGGAUGUAUCUUCUCAGAACUGGAGAAUUGUAGGAGAUCAAGAUCUAUCAAUUCGAAGGGAGAAACAACAAUUGUCUUGAAAAAGUAAAAACAAAUGACUAUUAAGUCGUUAAGCUGAACAUCCGACUGUUAAGUCGUUAAACUGAGCACCAAAACUCAAAUCGACCGCCAUGUCAUUAAACUGAACACCAAAACUCAAAUCGAUCGCCAUGUCGCUAAAUUGAGCAACCCAAUUUAAAAUCGACCGCCAUGUCGCAAAACUGAGCAACUCAAUUUAAAAUCCACCGCCAUGUCGCUAAACUGAGCACCUCAACUUCAACCGACCGCCAUGUCAUUAAACUGAGCAACUCAAUUUAAAAUCGACCGCCAUGUCGCUAAACUGAGAACCAAACUUAAACCGACCGCCAUGUCAUUAAACUGAGCAUCAAAACUUCAAUCGACCACC